GACGAACGCUGGCGGCGUGCUUAACACAUGCAAGUCGAACGGAAAGGCCCUGCUUUUGUGGGGUGCUCGAGUGGCGAACGGGUGAGUAACACGUGAGUAACCUGCCCUUGACUUUGGGAUAACUUCAGGAAACUGGGGCUAAUACCGGAUAGGAGCUCCUGCUGCAUGGUGGGGGUUGGAAAGUUUCGGCGGUUGGGGAUGGACUCGCGGCUUAUCAGCUUGUUGGUGGGGUAGUGGCUUACCAAGGCUUUGCCGGGUAGCCGGCCUGAGAGGGUGACCGGCCACAUUGGGACUGGGAUACGGCCCAGACUCCUACGGGAGGCAGCAGUGGGGAAUAUUGCACAAUGGGCUGAAGCCUGAUGCAGUAACGCCUCGUGCGGGAUGACGGCCUUCGGGUUGUAAACCGCUUUCGCCUGUGACGAAGCGUGAGUGACGGUAAUGGGUAAAGAAGCACCGGCUAACUACGUG
rnacentral:rRNA from 1 species